UACGUAGGGUGCGAGCGUUAAUCGGAAUUACUGGGCGUAAAGCGUGCGCAGGCGGUGAGCUGUGUCCGAUGUGAAAGCCCCGGGCUCAACCUGGGAAUGGCGAUGGAUACUGGCUCGCUAGAGUGCGGUAGAGGAGAGUGGAAUUCCCGGUGUAGCAGUGAAAUGCGUAGAGAUCGGGAGGAACAUCAGUUGCGAAGGCGGCUCUCUGGACCAGCACUGACACUGAGGCACGAAAGCUAGGGGAGCGAAUGGG
rnacentral:rRNA from 1 species